rnacentral:rRNA from 1 species
GAGUUUGAUCCUGGCUCAGAUUGAACGCUGGCGGCAGGCCUAACACAUGCAAGUCGAGCGGAAACGAGUUAACUGAACCUUCGGGGAACGUUAACGGCGUCGAGCGGCGGACGGGUGAGUAAUGCCUGGGAAAUUGCCCUGAUGUGGGGGAUAACCAUUGGAAACGAUGGCUAAUACCGCAUAAUAGCUUCGGCUCAAAGAGGGGGACCUUCGGGCCUCUCGCGUCAGGAUAUGCCCAGGUGGGAUUAGCUAGUUGGUGAGGUAAUGGCUCACCAAGGCGACGAUCCCUAGCUGGUCUGAGAGGAUGAUCAGCCACACUGGAACUGAGACACGGUCCAGACUCCUACGGGAGGCAGCAGUGGGGAAUAUUGCACAAUGGGCGCAAGCCUGAUGCAGCCAUGCCGCGUGUAUGAAGAAGGCCUUCGGGUUGUAAAGUACUUUCAGCAGUGAGGAAGGUGGGUAUGUUAAUAGCAUACUCAUUUGACGUUAGCUGCAGAAGAAGCACCGGCUAACUCCGUGCCAGCAGCCGCGGUAAUACGGAGGGUGCGAGCGUUAAUCGGAAUUACUGGGCGUAAAGCGCAUGCAGGUGGUUUGUUAAAGUCAGAUGUGAAAGCCCNGGGCUCAUCCUCGGAAAUUGCUUUUGAAACUGGGCAAACUANAAGAACUGUAGAGGGGGGGGUAGAAUUUUCAUGGUGUAGCGGGUGAAAUCGCGUUANAUAU